CCUACGGGAGGCAGCAGUGAGGAAUAUUGGUCAAUGGCCGGAAGGCUGAACGAGCCAAGCCGCGUGAAGGACGAAGGUGCCAAGCAUUGUAAACUUCUUUUGUCAAGGGACAAAAUCAGGCUCGAGAGCCUGACCGCGGGUACUUGAAGAAAAAGCAUCGGCUAACUCCGUGCCAGCCGCCGCGGUAAUACGGGGGAUGCGAGGGUUAUCCGGUUUUAUUGGGGUAAAAGGGGGCGUAGGCGGGCUGUUAAGUCAGCGGUAAAAGCCCGGGGCUCAACCCCGGCGAGCCGUGGAAACUGGCUGACUUGAGAUGUCGAGAGGUAUGCGGAAUGCGCAGUGUAGCGGUGAAAUGCUUAGAUAUUGCGCAGAACUCCGAUUGCGAAGGCAGCAUACCGGCGGCGAUCUGACGCUGAGGCACGAAAGCGUGGGUAUCGAACAGGAUUAGAUACCCGAGUAGUC
rnacentral:rRNA from 1 species